GUAGGUGGCGAGCGUUAUCCGGAUUUACUGGGCGUAAAGAGCGCGCAGGCGGUCGUGCAAGUCGGAUGUGAAAUCCCCCGGCUUAACUGGGGAAGGUCAUUCGAUACUGCUCGACUUGAAGGCGGGAGAGGGAAGCGGAAUUCCCGGUGUAGUGGUGAAAUGCGUAGAUAUCGGGAGGAACACCAGUGGCGAAGGCGGCUUCCUGGCCCGUUCUUGACGCUGAGGCGCGAAAGCUAGGGGAGCAAACGGGAUUAGAUACCCCGGUAGUCCUAGCCGUAAACGAUGGACACUAGGUGUUGGUGGUAUCAACCCCGCCAGUGCCGAAGCUAACGCAUUAAGUGUCCCGCCUGGGGAGUACGGCCGCAAGGCUA
rnacentral:rRNA from 1 species